rnacentral:rRNA from 1 species
UGGGGAAUUUUGGACAAUGGGCGCAAGCCUGAUCCAGCCAUGCCGCGUGUCUGAAGAAGGCCUUCGGGCUGUAAAGGACUUUUGUCAGGGAAGAAAAGGCUGUCGCUAAUACCGACAGUUGAUGACGGUACCUGAAGAAUAAGCACCGGCUAACUACGUGCCAGCAGCCGCGGUAAUACGUAGGGUGCGAGCGUUAAUCGGAAUUACUGGGCGUAAAGCGAGCGCAGACGGUUACUUAAGCAGGAUGUGAAAUCCCCGGGCUCAACCUGGGAACUGCGUUCUGAACUGGGUGACUAGAGUGUGUCAGAGGGAGGUAGAAUUCCACGUGUAGCAGUGAAAUGCGUAGAGAUGUGGAGGAAUACCGAUGGCGAAGGCAGCCUCCUGGGAUAACACUGACGUUCAUGCUCGAAAGCGUGGGUAGCAAACAGGAUUAGAUACCCUGGUAGUCCACGCCCUAAACGAUGUCAAUUAGCUGUUGGGCAACUUGAUUGCUUAGUAGCGUAGCUAACGCGUGAAAUUGACCGCCUGGGGAGUACGGUCGCAAGAUUA